AUGGAGGGUUUCAGCCAGAAGCAUGUCAUCGGAAUUCCCCUGCCUUCCUUUGCAUAUGCUGAUGAGAAGACACAAGGAAAACCAUCCUGUUCUUCUUUGGUUCGCAACAAGGAAAAAAAGAAUUCCAUCGUUUAUCGGAUGAGCAAGCUAAGCCAGAAAACAGAUACUUACAUGCAGGGCUUCAAGGAACACUUAGCACUUGGACCGAAAAUUUCAGAAACUGUGAAAGGGAAACUGAGCUUGGGUGUGAAGGUUCUCCAAGCUGGUAGCAUGGACAAGGUCUUCAGGCAAUACUUUCGAGUCGAGAAAGAAGAGAAGCUACUGAAGGCUUUCCAGUGUUAUCUCUCAACCACAGCCGGCCCAAUAGCUGGAAUGCUUUUCAUCUCGACUGAGAAGAUUGCCUUCCAUAGUGACAGACCUUUGGAUUUAAAAUCGCCCAAGGGCCGCAUCACAAGGGUGCCCUACAAGGUCGUGAUUCCUGCAAAGAGGAUAAAGAGUGCUGCCGUGAGGGAAAAUUUGUAUAAUCCUGAUGAGAAGUACAUCGAUGUAGUUACUGUUGACGGCUUCGAUUUUUGGUUUAUGGGUUUCAUCAGUCACACAAAAUCACUGAAAUAUCUUCAGCGUGUAAUUUCGGAGAUGAGAUGA
rnacentral:rRNA from 1 species